UCGCCGCCCUCGUGUGGAUUCAUUGUUUCUUAACCGUCAUCAAUUUGCGGCUUGUUCCAAAAUCACCAAGAUUUAUAUAACAGGUGCUCGCGGCGAAAUUUGCACUGCGCAAUACGCGCAUUGGCAUCCCACAUUGGGUGCAUUGGCAAACAUUAGGACGCGCUUGUGCAACUUAGUUUCACCUUCGUCAUUGCAGCGCCCGUAACCCACUGAUAUCUCGGCGUAGAGGAAGCGCACAUCGGCUGCCUUGAUCUCCUCGCUACAAUCUCGUCGGCACCCAAGGGCGGUGCUGUUGCAAACAUCAUUGCUGGAGCCACCGGAGAUUGGUGAGCCCCAAACAUCACAUCCUACAGGGUGCGCACAGCGGCUGCGUUCCUAACCUCCACAUCGUCACAGGAGAUCAUCAGCGGGAUUCAACCUACCUCGAAAAAUGCCAGCAACACACUAAUAAUUGUUUGAAAUGUAUUGCCUUUUCUGAUAAGUCUGGUAAAGAUGAAGGUUUCACAGCAUUCCCAAACGCCCGUAACCCACUGAUAUCUCGGCGUAGAGGAAGCGCACAUCGGCUGCCUUAAUCUCCUCGCUACAAUCUCGUCGGCACCCAAGGGCGGUGCUGUUGCAAACAUCAUUGCUGGAGCCACCGGAGAUUGGUCAGCCCCAAACAUCACAUCCUACAGGGUGCGCACAGCGGCUGCGUUCCUAACCUCCAUAUCGUCACAGGAGAUCAUCAGCGGGAUUCAACCUACCUCCUUGUGGGACACCGAGAAGUUCAUCCCCAAUCAUUAUAUUUUAAAUGGAUGUAUCAAAAAGGCGUUCGAUUUACGAUAACUAUUAAAGGCAAAUAAUAAUGAAUUAGCAUGGA